rnacentral:lncRNA from 1 species
GGGCCCUCUAGAGAUGGUGUUCAUGAUCCUGAUUGGAGGUCGAUCUCCAGGCUGUUCUUCUCUCCUUGGCAGCUCCGGUUGUGGUAGGGCCCUCGACUGAUCCUCCCUACUUUCAGACCGACGUCGGAUGAAUCUGUCGAGCCGAUCCCACCUGAUAAGCUCCUCGAUUUCGUCUCAGAGCUGAAUGCAUUCCGCCAUGUCGUGGCCGUGGUCACGAUGAUAGAGGCAGAAUUUGUUUGGGUUGCACUUCCUGGGGUGCG